rnacentral:misc_RNA from 1 species
UGAAUGCUUAAAAAAAAAAGAAGAAAGAUUGACUUGAGCUUGAGUUUGACUUGAUCUCACUAAUUGAGUUGGUCUCAAGUUUGGCUCAUUUAGUCUCUUUUGUUGCUAGGUUAGUGGGGCUAAAGGCAAGUCGAUUACGAGUUCAUUAAAAUAUAAGUGAGCUUAGCUCAAGCUCAAAUAUCUAAGCUUGAAUUGUUGAGCUCAUUAUAAGAUAAGCCUUAGCUCUUCAUGCUUCACUUGGCUUGGCUCAACCCAUUUGUAGCCUUAUAUAAAAUGUAUCUUGAUCUUCAUUGCUCAUGCACUGAAGUUUUCAGGGCUACAUCAUGUAUGGAUGGUUAAAUAUAGUGCAGCCAGUAUUCAUUGCCCUUGCUGCUCCAUAAUUACUUUUGGCCACAUUUGGAUAUGGGACUUCUAAAAUUCAUGGAAUUCCAAAUCUAGGGUUUUGAUAAGUUUUAAUUCCAUGGAUUUACAUAAUCUCACUUGUUUGUUAUGUUGGUAAAUCAAUGGAAUUGAAGGAAAUUUUUGAAAGGAAAAAAAAAAGGAUUGUAGAAUCCCCUCAAAUCCAUGGAUUCUAUGAAAUCCCUCAUCCAAAAAGCCCUCCAACCAAGCAUGACCUUAGGUACUUCUUGAUGGAAUAGACCAAUUAUUGUGUACCUCUAUAAGUACAAACUGCUGCUUCAAUGUGUAUGUCAUGUUCAUUGGUUAAGAUAAGAUGACCAAAAGUUUAGAGGGAUUUCAGAGCCUAUGGGGAAAUGCAAAUCCCUUAGGGUCUUUCAGAUGCCAAAUCAUUUUCCAUAUCAGUUUUUCAUAGCUUUCUAAGUCAUGUUAAGUUCCUUUUUCAUGAUAGAACUCCAUUAGUAUAGUUCAACAAUGUUUGUAGUAUAAAUUUUCAUGAAAAUGCAAUAAAUUAAUAAUUAUAUUAUUGUUGAAAUUUUGAAGAAGAAGAAGAAGAAGAA